AGUGAACGCUGGCGGUAGGCCUAACACAUGCAAGUCGAACGGCAGCACAGUAAGAGCUUGCUCUUACGGGUGGCGAGUGGCGGACGGGUGAGGAAUACAUCGGAAUCUACUUUUUCGUGGGGGAUAACGUAGGGAAACUUACGCUAAUACCGCAUACGACCUACGGGUGAAAGCAGGGGAUCUUCGGACCUUGCGCGAUUGAAUGAGCCGAUGUCGGAUUAGCUAGUUGGCGGGGUAAAGGCCCACCAAGGCGACGAUCCGUAGCUGGUCUGAGAGGAUGAUCAGCCACACUGGAACUGAGACACGGUCCAGACUCCUACGGGAGGCAGCAGUGGGGAAUAUUGGACAAUGGGGGCAAGCCUGAUCCAGCCAUACCGCGUGGGUGAAGAAGGCCUUCGGGUUGGAAAGCCCUUUUGUUGGGAAAGAAAAGCAGCAGGUUAAUACCCCGCUGUUCUGACGGUACCCAAAGAAUAAGCACCGGCUAACUUCGUG
rnacentral:rRNA from 1 species